rnacentral:rRNA from 1 species
GUGCCAGCCGCCGCGGUAACACCGGCAGCCCAAGUGAUGGCCGAUAUUAUUGGGCCUAAAGCGUCCGUAGCUGGCCGGGCAAGUCCGUCGGGAAAUCCACGCGCUUAACGCGUGGGCGUCCGGCGGAAACUGUUCGGCUUGGGACCGGAAGAUCCGAGGGGUACGUCCGGGGUAGGAGUGAAAUCCCGUAAUCCUGGACGGACCACCGAUGGCGAAAGCACCUCGGAAGGACGGAUCCGACAGUGAGGGACGAAAGCUAGGGUCUCGAACCGGAUUAGAUACCCCUGUAGUCC